CAGAGGGAGGAGCACGGAGGUGCCCGGCCGAGGAGGCCUCGAGCCCCGGGCGCAUGGCCGAGGGUGCGGGCACUGCGCAGGGGGCCCCAGUUGAGCCCCAGCGGGAUAGGCCUCACGUAAAGGUUGAGCGGCUCCAGGGUCCGCAGGGUUCCCUCCCUUUGGCCAUACGGAUCCCGCAGAGCUCCCCGAGCAUUCUGGGCAGGGUCGGCCCAGGAGGGGAUCGCGCUCUGGAGACCUCCAAGGCCUGGAGGAGCCGGCUCAGAUUGCCAUCCAGAAGGAGUCCAUCGGGGCAGCUCCAGGAGCACUGGGAGACACUGCCUGAGCUCUCUGCUGUAGUGGGAGAACUGGGGAUUCCAAUCCUGCUCACUGAGGACCACAGAGGAAACAGAGGUGAGAAUGUGAAACCAGCAGAGGAUGGAGCAGCAGUGAGCAGUGAGGCUGGAUGGCUUCUGAAGGAACUGGGGGGAAUGAAGCAGCUGAUCCGCAGACAGCCCUACCUACCUGCUCCUGGAAAGUGCAGUCUGGAUCCUGGCAGUUGCAAUAGCAAUUGUCCUUUCCACGUAUUACAGGGAGAGCCAGGAAAGGGCAGGGCAGCAACUCUGUGCUACCAGGAAACCAGCAGAGAUGCUCCAGCAAACAGGGUGUGUAUGUUCAGUGAAUACACCCUACCUGGGCAACUGAGGUGGCUUGUAGAGGGAAGGCCUCUCUCCUUAGAGCAGCCAGCUUGGAAGGUGCCAGCAGCAGCGUAUGGGGGUGAUGUGCACAGUGCAGCCCUCUUGGGUGUGCAGAGGGCUGGUGACAGUGCUGCCACUGAAGGCCUUCAGGGACAUGGAGCUGGCCUGCUCUGGGAUCUGCAAGGUACAGGGUGUGGGCUCAGGACCCCAGGGACCAGGAUCCUGUCCAGCUGCAGGUCCCAGCACACUCUGGUCCUGCUGGGGUUGCUCUCCCUCAUGCUCUUUCUCUGUUUUAAAGGCAGCUUCUCUGUGAAGCAUUUUGGGACUCAGCUGAAAAGGGGUUGCUCCCCUCCUGAUGGAUACAAGCCGGUACCUCCACAGGUACCCGUGGGCCCUUCCAGCCCCGCUCCAGCAGCAGGAGCCUUGCGGCUGGGGACCCCGUGUAGGCACCAAGGCCAUGGAGCCCUGCGAGCAUCCUCCCAUGGCGGUUCCCAUGGCAACUCCCUGGCUCACAGUCUCCCAGCCCACACAGCUGUAGCCGCAGGAUGGCUUUAGCCACAUGCAGCACCCACCAGCCCUGCGCCUGUGCCAGGGUCUUGUCACCUGCUGCCCUCUGCUCCCACCACUGCUGUCCCCUCCUGCCACCCAGCACCUCCUGUCCCUCCUCAAAGGAUCCAUCAUCUUGCUCCCUACUGCAGAGAGCUGCUCCAGGAAGUCCCCCCAACCAAAGCACCUUUCCCAGGGCCCUGCAAAGCCCUUAAUUCUCCUUUUCCUGCAGUCUAUCAUGCAGAAAACAAGGAAUAACUGGUAACAGGUGAGAGGAACAGCACUCACGGAGAAGAAGGAAGCUAAGCAGGACAAGUAGGUCUGUGUACAGGAGAGUUCCCUCCUCUGCACUUCAGCAGGUCCUGGCUCUGCACAUGCCGGGAUGGCCUGGCCAGGCAGAAGUCUGCUGGCCUGUGCCUGCAUCCAAGAUUUCCCUGGUUUUUGGUGCUGGUGCCCAGCUCCAGUCUCACGCUUCAAACUGCUGUAAAAAGGAAAGGCAACAGCUAAUAAUUUGCAGAGAAAAAGCCUUGCAGCAAGACCUGAAGCUCAAUGUCAAAUAGACCGGGAGGCUACAAUGUGAGAAAGAGGAGAAAAUAGCAUGUAUGGGGAAGCCUUGCUCUGAGAGCCAGGGCAUGAGGAGGCUCAAGUCCCAGAGCUGGAGUAAGGCAGCUUAAAGUUAGGAGUAAAGACUUUCCACCACUUGAAACCUCCUAAAACCAUGCAUGGCUUUUGGGAAGAAGGAUUUAACCAAUCCCAGGUCCCCAGUCAGCCUUGGAAGUUGAGGGACAACAUCCUAAGGAAUAAAACAAGUGGAUGCACAGGUGGUAAUGGGCUA
rnacentral:lncRNA from 14 species